AGCGAACGCUGGCGGCAGGCCUAAAACAUGCAAGUCGAACGCCCGUAGCAAUACGGGAGUGGCAGACGGGUGAGUAACACGUGGGAACGUACCCUUUGGUUCGGAACAACACAGGGAAACUUGUGCUAAUACCGGAUAAGCCCUUACGGGGAAAGAUUUAUCGCCAGAGGAUCGGCCCGCGUCUGAUUAGCUUGUUGGUGAGGUAACGGCUCACCAAGGCUACGAUCAGUAGCUGGUCUGAGAGGAUGAUCAGCCACACUGGGACUGAGACACGGCCCAGACUCCUACGGGAGGCAGCAGUUAGGAAUCUUGGACAAUGGGCGCAAGCCUGAUCCAGCCAUGCCGCGUGAGUGAUGAAGGCCUUAGGGUUGUAAAGCUCUUUCAGCGGGGAAGAUAAUGACGGUACCCGCAGAAGAACGCCCCGGCUAACUUCGUGCCAGCAGCCGCUGUAAU
rnacentral:rRNA from 1 species